CCUACGGGGGGCAGCAGUGGGGAAUUUUGGACAAUGGGCGCAAGCCUGAUCCAGCCAUGCCGCGUGCGGGAAGAAGGCCUUCGGGUUGUAAACCGCUUUUGUCAGGGAAGAAACGGUCUGGGUUAAUACCCUGGGCUAAUGACGGUACCUGAAGAAUAAGCACCGGCUAACUACGUGCCAGCAGCCGCGGUAAUACGUAGGGUGCAAGCGUUAAUCGGAAUUACUGGGCGUAAAGCGUGCGCAGGCGGUUAUGCAAGACAGAUGUGAAAUCCCCGGGCUCAACCUGGGAACUGCAUUUGUGACUGCAUAGCUAGAGUACGGUAGAGGGGGAUGGAAUUCCGCGUGUAGCAGUGAAAUGCGUAGAUAUGCGGAGGAACACCGAUGGCGAAGGCAAUCCCCUGGACCUGUACUGACGCUCAUGCACGAAAGCGUGGGGAGCAAACAGGAUUAGAUACCCCAGUAGUC
rnacentral:rRNA from 1 species